rnacentral:rRNA from 1 species
GACGAAGGGGGCUAGCGUUGUUCGGAAUUACUGGGCGUAAAGCGAGUGUAGGUGGUUGUCCAAGUUGGAUGUGAAAGCCUUGAGCUCAACUCAAGAAAUGCAUUCAGGACUGGGCGGCUAGAGGACCGGAGAGGAUAGUGGAAUUCCCAGUGUAGUGGUGAAAUUCGUAGAUAUCGGAAGGAACACCAGUGGCGAAGGCGGCUAUCUGGACGGUGACUGACGCUGAGACGCGAAAGCGUGGGGAGCAAACAGG